AUUGAACGCUGGCGGCAUGCCUUACACAUGCAAGUCGAACGGCAGCACGGGAGCAAUCCUGGUGGCGAGUGGCGAACGGGUGAGUAAUACAUCGGAACGUGCCCAGUAGUGGGGGAUAGCCCGGCGAAAGCCGGAUUAAUACCGCAUACGACCUGAGGGUGAAAGCGGGGGAUCGCAAGACCUCGCGCUAUUGGAGCGGCCGAUGUCGGAUUAGCUAGUUGGUGGGGUAAAGGCCUACCAAGGCAACGAUCCGUAGCUGGUCUGAGAGGACGACCAGCCACACUGGGACUGAGACACGGCCCAGACUCCUACGGGAGGCAGCAGUGGGGAAUUUUGGACAAUGGGGGCAACCCUGAUCCAGCCAUGCCGCGUGCGGGAAGAAGGCCUUCGGGUUGUAAACCGCUUUUGUCAGGGAAGAAAUGCUCUGGGCUAAUACCCCGGAGUGAUGACGGUACCUGAAGAAUAAGCACCGGCUAACUACGUGCCAGCCGCCGCGGUAAAAC
rnacentral:rRNA from 1 species